UACGUAGGGUGCGAGCGUUGUCCGGAAUUAUUGGGCGUAAAGAGCUUGUAGGCGGUCUGUCGCGUCUGCUGUGAAAAUCCGGGGCUCAACCCCGGACUUGCAGUGGGUACGGGCAGACUAGAGUGUGGUAGGGGGAGACUGGAAUUCCUGGUGUAGCGGUGGAAUGCGCAGAUAUCAGGAGGAACACCGAUGGCGAAGGCAGGUCUCUGGGCCAUUACUGACACUGAGAAGCGAAAGCAUGGGGAGCGAACAGG
rnacentral:rRNA from 1 species